CCAUCAGGGGAGUUGUUUCAACGUUAAGAGAGAGAGAGAGAGAGAGAGAGAGAGAGAGAAACGGUGGAAAGAAGAAGAUGAAGAGCAACGGGGGAAGAUAGGAACCUCAAUUUCAAUAGGUGACAAGUCGGUGAAUCAAGGAGCACCGAAAUCAUAAUUGUACUUUCUUUUGGAGUACAAGGUGUUGUAGAUAUCCACUGCUGAUCAUCUUGUGGUUGUACCCUCGCUUAGGGUAGCGUGUCAAGAAGACUUGGAGAGUUUUGGCAAGACACUGUAGAUAGGAAUUUAGUUACAGCUCAUGUUGAUACUAGUUUGUUGUAUAGUUUAAUAUUUUCUUAAGACUUCCGUUGUGUUUGUAAGAACGAUAUAUUUUCCGUUAUCAAUAAAAUGGCUAUUGGUUAACUUAAUUGCUAGAACUUGAGUUAUAGAAAUGGGUUGGU